UUCUCUCUCUCUCUCUCUCAAUUCUACUGAUUCUUUAUUCUCUGUUAUUUUCGUUCUUAUAUUUCUAUGACUGGAAAAACACGGAAAAAUGGUAUCAGAGCUUGUUGAUUCCUUGGCCAUGGAGGAAGGUAUUCAUGAAUGGGAAAGGAAGUUGACAACAAUGAUGCAAGAAUUACAGCAAAGGCAGGAGGCUUUGGGAAAAGGAAGCAGAGCAACGACGAAGAAAUUAAAACCUUGCUUACUAGUUUAAGUUUGAGGAAUAUGGAGA
rnacentral:misc_RNA from 1 species